rnacentral:rRNA from 1 species
CCUGGUGGCUUUGGCGAGGAGUCUGAACCCGAUCCCAUCCCGAACUCGGCCGUKAAACUCSWCAGCGCCGAUGGUACUAUGUCUCAAGACCUGGGAGAGUAGGUCGCUGCCAGGC